rnacentral:rRNA from 1 species
AACGAACGCUGGCGGCACGCCUAACACAUGCAAGUCGAACGCUCGGCAGCGAUGUCGGGAGUGGCGGACGGGUGAGUAACGCGUGGGAACCUGCCUUGAGGUACGGGACAACCCCGGGAAACCGGGGCUAAUACCGUAUGAUGCGCCUCGCAAGGGGCGCUAAAGAUUGAUCGCCUUGCGAGGGGCCCGCGUCGGAUUAGGUAGUUGGUGGGGUAACGGCCUGCCAAGCCUUCGAUCCGUAGCUGGUCUGAGAGGAUGGCCAGCCACACUGGGACUGAGACACGGCCCAGACUCCUACGGGAGGCAGCAGUGGGGAAUCUUGGACAAUGGGGGCAACCCUGAUCCAGCGAUGCCGCGUGGGUGAUGAAGGCCUUCGGGUUGUAAAGCCCUUUCGGCGGGGACGAUAGUGACGGUACCCGCAGAAGAAGCCUCGGCUAACUCCGUGCCAGCAGCCGCGGUAACAC